GACCUGACGACGUGUAGUCAUCCCUGGUGAUGUAGAUGUCGUCCCCGAUGACUAGAUCUGAGUGAUUUUGGUGGAUGGGAGGUAGUUGGAGAAAAGGGAGGUUGUUGGGAGGCUCGGCUCAGGAGGGAGAAGAGGGGUGGGGAGGGGUUUGAAAAAUGUUUGGAUGUGCUUUUAAAAAUGCUGAAAGUGCUUUUAGAGAAAAUAUUUUUGGGUUCCAAAGGCACUUUAAAUGCUUUUUGCGAGAAGCACCAGUUAUAUGUUUCUUCCAAGAAGCACUUUAAGUGCUUUUCUAGGAUUUACUUGCAUUUUUACUAAGGAUUGGUUCCAAAAAUAUUUUCACCAAAAACGCUUUCAGUUAUUUUAAAAGCACAUUUAAACGAGCUCUACUUCACUCGCUAUUUAGUGUUUUGAAUUUUGGUGGAGGAUUUUCUCCCUUAUAUUUGAACGUUUAUGGUUAAGUUACGUAAAUAUUUUUAUAUUGAUUUUUUUAAUAGUGACAAAAAGAUAAAAAAAUAAAAUGUGAGAGGAGGGGAGGGAAAAGAAUUAUACUCCUUGAAUUUAAUGUUAAACCCGUGGAGAAAUUUUUUUGGACGAGGGUAAAAUUUUAUUACCAACAAAAUAAGAGAAAAUUGUAGUAAUGGUCCUUACUUUAAGCGUUGAUCUCUCAACUAAAAAUUUGUGACCAUUGAUCUCUUAAUUUAUCAAAACGUGCAGUCAUGGUCCUUUUCAUCAACUCCAUCAGAACUUUCGUUAAAAUGAAUCAUGGUGCAAGAACUAUUGCUACAGUUGGAGUUAAAGUUGACAGAUCAUUUCUUUAAUUAGAUUAAAAUUGAGAGAUCAUUUCCCUCUUUCAGAAAAAACUUAUUUUACCAUUAAAAACUUUCACCGCAUUGCGCCAUUGGGGAUUAGGGUCUUGUCCUUAUUUAUUAUCUUCUUGAUUCGAACUCUCUAUCUUACGCUCUAUUUUAUAAUAUAAAUUAAAAUAGUAAGAUCAUUUGUAUUUUUAAAAUUCAACCGUUGCUGUUGAUGCUUAUCAAACUGGCCAUGUGCCUAAGUAAAAAAGUGGUUUCAAUUGAAAAAUUCUUGCGUAGGAGCUUCCGUUGAUGUUCUAGGGGGACCUCCUGCUCUCUAUUAUAACAAUAUGGGUUUAUGUGCGACUUGAAUGUAGGGGUCCUUUCGUAUGUGUCUUGUACGGAUAAGUAGUGUGACCGGAAAGCCUCUGCCAUAAAAAGGUGUUUACCAUCACCAUCGAGUUGCUGUUUAAUAUCUAAUAUAAGGUUACGUAGAGAGCGUCUUACAAAUAAUUUUGGUAUUAUUGGUCUCAAAACACUAUGAUAGUUGUAAGUUCAUCCUAACUAAGGACUCAUUUAAUAACUAUUUCAGUUUUUUUUUUAAUGAUUGAAAUAAGGGGGAAUGUAAAUGAGAAAUGAAAAAGAGUAUGGAGUUUGGUGCGUACACUAUAAAUAAACCAAAAACCAUUUAAGUAGUUUUCACUUUUGAGUUAUUGUUGUCAUUCCUUCUUCCUUAUUAUUGGAGCUCUAAAGCAAAAGAGGUAUGACACACUCCGACUUAAAUCAGAGCAUGCUGGCCGUCAUGUGAGAGUGAUGUAACCAUGUGCACAGUGUAGAAGCAAUAGAGAUAUAAGGAAUUACGAAUAAACAAAAAUCAAAUCAACUAGAGUACUAGCUAAGAUAAUGUGCAAGUGCGAGAUUAAGUGUGAAAUACACAACUAGAGCAUAAAUAUUCUAAGUGCAGUCAAGCAGGACAAGUAUUAAUUAUACAACACCCGAGGGUGAUAUGUUCUGUCAGAACCCCCGUCAGAAUCCUCGUGAUCCACCAAGCACUUCUACUUAAAACCUGGAGGGGCGCACAACAGAAAGUGUAAGUGGGCAAAAACAAAGCUUUUCAAAAUCAUUCAUUUCUCAAAAAUUCUAACCCCUUGCCGUAAAACCCAUACAGUUUUCCUAGAAAAAUAGAACAUAUAUACAUAUCUCAAAACCAUGCUCAGAAAACGAUAUUCAUAAGUAUGCCAUGCCAAAGUAUCUCAAUGCAAUGCUAUAGGUAAACCAGGCAAAAUAUAUAAAUAUCAAAUAUCGCAUCAGCCAAAUCUCUCUAACUCAAACUACACUACUGAGUAUAUAGCUCAUAACCAAUCUCAAUCAUAUCAAAUCAAAUCAAAUCCUGCACACGAGUAGGAACCACCUCAAGUGGCAUGUACGACAAGACUAGGUGUAAAGUAAAUAUGCUCUAGUGCUACGAUCACGUGAAGGCUGUG
rnacentral:lncRNA from 1 species